AUCCAGCUGAUGAGUUCAAAAUAGGACGAAACUCGCGUCCUGGAU
rnacentral:hammerhead_ribozyme from 1 species